rnacentral:rRNA from 1 species
CCUACGGGUGGCAGCAGUGGGGAAUAUUGCACAAUGGGGGCAACCCUGAUGCAGCGACGCCGCGUGAGUGAAGAAGUAAUUCGUUACGUAAAGCUCUAUCAGCAGGGACGAAAUACUGACCUUACGGUCAGCAGACGGUACCUGAGUAAGCAGCCCCGGCUAACUACGUGCCAGCAGCCGCGGUACUACGUAGGGGGCAAGCGUUAUCCGGAUUUACUGGGUGUAAAGGGAGCGUAGACGGUGCGCCAAGUCUGGAGUGAAAUGCCGCAGCUUAACUGCGGAACUGCUUUGGAAACUGGCGAACGAGAGGGCGGGAGGGGGAAGCGGAAUUCCUAGUGUAGCGGUGAAAUGCGGAGAUAUUAGGAGGAACACCGGGGGCGAAGGCGGCUUACUGGACCGUAACUGACGUUGAGGCUCGAAAGCGUGGGGAGCAAACAGGAUUAGAUACCCUAGUAGUC